rnacentral:rRNA from 1 species
AUCGUAACAAGGUUUCCGUAGGUGAACCUGCGGAAGGAUCAUUAUUGAAAACUUUGGAAAUAGUAUUGAUGCUGGCCUUCCGAGGUAUGUGCUCAUACUAUUUCUAAUCUAUUCAUCCACCUGUGCAUUUAUUGUAGGAGGUCUUUGAGGAGUUAACUUAUAAAGUUGACUUAGUAAAGGGCUUUCUAUGUUCUUACAAACCUAUUGAAGUAUGUUUUAGAAUGUCUUUAUUGGGACUUUAUUGGCCCUUUAAACUUGUACAACUUUUAGCAACGGAUCUCUUGGCUCUCCCAUCGAUGAAGAACGCAGCGAAAUGCGAUAAGUAAUGUGAAUUGCAGAAUUCAGUGAAUCAUCGAAUCUUUGAACGCACCUUGCGCCCUCUGGUAUUCCGGAGGGCAUGCCUGUUUGAGUGUCAUUAAAUUCUCAACUUCAAAAGUUUUUAUUAGCUUAUUGAAGCUUGGAUGUUGGGGGCUUGCUGGCGUCUUAGAUGUUCGGCUCCCCUUAAAUGCAUUAGUGGAAAUCUCUUUGUUGGAGUUAUUUCCUUGGUGUGAUAAUUAUCUACACUUUGGAUAGUCCAAUGUUUCCAUUGAGAUUGCUCAGUAAAGUGCCUUCUGGUAUUUUCUGGUUUUGUAGUAUUGCAAUUAGUUGCUCUACUUGAGUCUCAGAGGAAAGGGGAAGUUCUGCUCUCUAACUGUCUAUAUUUUAUGGACAACUUAUUGACUAUUUGACCUCAAAUCAGGUAGGACUACCCGCUGAACUUAAGCAUAUCAUAA